UAAUACGUAGGGUGCGAGCGUUAAUCGGAAUUACUGGGCGUAAAGCGUGCGCAGGCGGUUCGUUAAGUCAGCUGUGAAAGCCCCGGGCUCAACCUGGGAAUGGCAGUUGAAACUGGCGGGCUGGAGUGUGGCAGAGGGGGGUGGAAUUCCACGUGUAGCAGUGAAAUGCGUAGAGAUGUGGAGGAACACCGAUGGCGAAGGCAGCCCCCUGGGCCAACACUGACGCUCAGGCACGAAAGCGUGGGGGGCAAACAG
rnacentral:rRNA from 1 species